rnacentral:rRNA from 1 species
CCUACGGGUGGCAGCAGUGAGGAAUAUUGGUCAAUGGACGCAAGUCUGAACCAGCCAUGCCGCGUGCAGGAAGACGGCCCUAUGAGUUGUAAACUGCUUUUGUACGAGGGUAAACUCAGUUACGCGUACCUGUCUGCAAGUAUCGUACGCAUAGAGAACGGCUAACUCCGUGCCAGCAGCCGCGGUAAUACGGAGGGUUCAAGCGUUAUCCGGAUUUACUGGGUUUAAAGGGUGCGUAGGCGGUCGGGUAAGUUAGAGGUGAAAGCCCGAGGCUCAACCUCGGAAAUGCCUCUGAUACUGCUAGGCUAGAGAGCAGUAGCGGUAGGCGGAAUGUAUAGUGUAGCAGUGAAAUGCGUAGAGAU